rnacentral:rRNA from 1 species
GACGAACGCUGGCGGCGUGCUUGACACGAGUGCAAGUCGAACGAGAAUUAAAAGUGGAAAUUUCGGAUGGAAACGAUUUAAGUGAAAGUGGCGGACGGGUGAGUAACGCGUGAGCAACCUACCUUACACAACGGGAUAGCCGAGGGAAACCUUGAUUAAUACCGUAUGACAUUGCUUUUUUGCAUGAAGAAGCAAUUAAAACUCAUGUGCUGAAAGAUGGUCUCGCGUCUGAUUAGCUAGAUGGCGGGGUAACGGCCCACCAUGGCGACGAUCAGUAGCCGGUCUGAGAGGAUGAACGGCCACAUUGGGACUGAGACACGGCCCAG